ncrna:unclassified sequences Streptococcus sRNA SpF59 (ldcC RNA)
UGACCACCCUUUAUAGGGUUAAGGCCAUACGGACAGCCGGGUCAAAUGCCGA